AUGGCCUGGAUGGUGCUCCUGCUCGGGCUCCUCACUUACAGCUCAGGUGUGGAUUCUCAGACUGUGGUGACUCAGGAGCCAUUACUGUCUGUUUCUCCAGGAGGGACAGUCACACUCACCUGUCGCCUGAGCUCUGGGUCAGUCUCUAGUAGUCACUACCCCGGCUGGUACCAGCAGACCCCAGGCAAGGCUCCCCUCAUGCUCAUCUAUGAAACAAAGAAACAACAUUCUGGGGUCCCUGAGCACUUCUCUGGAUCCAUCUCUGGAAACAAAGCCGUCCUCACCAUCAUGGGCGCCCAGCCUGAGGACGAGGCCGACUAUUACUGGCCAUGGAACCAUGGUGGGGUGAGGGAUGAGUGCAGACACAUUAACCAUCAGAGAGACUUCGAGCCUCCACUGCCCUGUGUAAUCCUGCCGGUGUUCCAGGAGCUUUAG